GAGUCUAUAGCUCAGUUGGUUCAGAGCGCCUCAUUGACAUUGAGGAGGUCAGAGGUUCAAGUCCUCUUAGACUCACCA
rnacentral:tRNA from 1 species